AUUAUUUUGAAAGUUGCAUGAAGUUUUUCAUUAAAUGUUCGAUGCUUGACAGAACUGACCACAUUAUUCGGCUCUUUGGGGCAUCGGGUUCCAGAUUAAACUUCCUGGGAGAAACGGCACCCAAAGCCCUCACCCAGACUUUGCUCUGCCCUUUCCAGGUACAGGUCUGGGCUUUCCAGGAAUGUGUGCUAGCGGGUUUUGUUUCUGUUUUUGUCCUGGUACUUUCCCUGGGAAAAUCCAUAUUUCACCAUGAAUUGGAGCCCACAGCAAUCCGCAGGAAGCCCAUUUGCCAUUUGCUCCGAUUCAGUGGUAAAAUGCCGAUUUUCCUGGGGAAAGCACUGGAGCAAAAAAGAAACCGCUCAGACACAGACCUGGGAAGGCCAGACCUGUUCCUAGAAACAGGGCACAAAAGGGAGUCUGAGGAGCUCAGAUAUGUGAUUCAGGACAUUUACAGGACUAAUAAAGCAUGUUUAGUAACCAUGAAUGUCUGCUGCGUGGUUCUUGGUCCCCCCAGGCCCACCUUGUCUGGGUGUGAAUCAGGCCAGAAGCGGUGGGGGUUGGCGAUGGGGGCACCCAUGCUUCUCC